rnacentral:rRNA from 1 species
GUCGAGCGAAUUGCUAGCAAUAGCAAUUAGCGGCGAACGGGUGAGUAAUACAUACUUAACAUGCCUCUGCGAGGGAAAUAGCUACCCGAAAGGGUAAUUAAUGUCCCAUAGGAGCCUUUCUCACAAGAGAGAGGUUUUAAAGGAGCAAUCCGCGCUGAGAUUGGAGUAUGUUCCAUUAGCUAGUUGGCGGGGUAAUAGCCCACCAAGGCAAUGAUGGAUAGCUGGUCUAAGAGGAUGAACAGCCACAAUGGGAUUGAGAUACGGCCCAUAUUCCUACGGGAAGCAGCAGUAGGGAAUCUUCCACAAUGGGCGAAAGCCUGAUGGAGCGAUGCCAUGUGAAUGAUGAAGGUCUUUUUGAUUGUAAAGUUCUUUUAUUGGGGAAAAUGAUGAUGGUACCCGAUGAAUAAGUGACAGCAAACUAUGUGCCAGCAGCUGCGGUAAUACAUAGGUCGCAAGCGUUAUUCGGAUUUAUUGGGCGUAAAGCAAGCGCAGGCGGACGAGUAAGUUCUGUGUUAAAAGCAGCAGCUCAACUGUUGUUUGCGCCGAAUACUGCUCGUCUAGAAUACGGUAGAAAGUUUCGGAAUUGAAUAUGGAGCGGUGGAAUGUGUAGAUAUAUUCAAGAACACCAGAGGCGAAGGCGGAAACUUAGGCCGCUAUUGACGCUUAGGCUUGAAAGUGUGGGGAGCAAAUGGGAUUAGAUACCCCAGUAGUCCACACCGUAAACGAUGGAUAUUAGAUGUUGGGACUUGAGUCUCAGCGUUGUAGCUCACGUGUUAAAUAUCCCGCCUGAGUAGUACAUAUGCAAAUAUGAAACUCAAAGGAAUUGACGGGGACCU